rnacentral:rRNA from 1 species
UUAGGGGUUUCGGAAUUAUUGGGGCGUAAGCGAGCGCAGGCGGUUUUUUAAGUCUGAUGUGAAAGCCCUCGGCUUAACCGAGGAAGCGCAUCGGAAACUGGGAAACUUGAGUGCAGAAGAGGACAGUGGAACUCCAUGUGUAGCGGUGAAAUGCGUAGAUAUAUGGAAGAACACCAGUGGCGAAGGCGGCUGUCUGGUCUGUAACUGACGCUGAGGCUCGAAAGCAUGGGUAGCGAACAGGAUUAGAUACCCUGGUAGUCCAUGCCGUAAACGAUGAAUGCUAGGUGUUGGAGGGUUUCCGCCCUUCAGUGCCGCAGCUAACGCAUUAAGCAUUCCGCCUGGGGAGUACGACCGCAAGGUUGAAACUCAAAGGAAUUGACGGGGGCCCGCACAAGCGGUGGAGCAUGUGGUUUAAUUCGAAGCAACGCGAAGAACCUUACCAGGUCUUGACAUCUUUUGAUCACCUGAGAGAUCAGGUUUCCCCUUCGGGGGCAAAAUGACAGGUGGUGCAUGGUUGUCGUCAGCUCGUGUCGUGAGAUGUUGGGUUAAGUCCCGCAACGAGCGCAACCCUUAUGACUAGUUGCCAGCAUUUAGUUGGGCACUCUAGUAAGACUGCCGGUGACAAACCGGAGGAAGGUGGGGAUGACGUCAAAUCAUCAUGCCCCUUAUGACCUGGGCUACACACGUGCUACAAUGGAUGGUACAACGAGUUGCGAGACCGCGAGGUCAAGCUAAUCUCUUAAAGCCAUUCUCAGUUCGGACUGUAGGCUGCAACUCGCCUACACGAAGUCGGAAUCGCUAGUAAUCGCGGAUCAGCACGCCGCGGUGAAUACGUUCCCGGGCCUUGUACACACCGCCCGUCACACCAUGAGAGUUUGUACACCCGAACCCGGUGGCGUACCCUUUUAGGGAGCGAACCGUCUAAGGUGGACAAUGAUUAGGUGAAUCUACAAGGGUACCC